CUGAAUAGUUUGCACAAGAAAUGAAAUUAUCGCACUUAUUCCACAGAUAUAGCCAUUGAGGGAAUGAAGCCAAAAUUCCAUCAUCUUUGCAAGAGAAGUUUUUAAGGACUCACUUAACCCUGUGAAGCUUCUGUCCACAAGCUCAUGGUCUUUUGCUUCGCUCUGAAAAGAACAAACUGAGAUUAUUAACCUUUGCUUAAUCUGACUACACAGCCUUAUAGAAAAUAAAAAGCAUUCUAGCCACUGAAUCCUUCCAGGAGAAAAAAAAAAAAAAAAACGAGCUGAAGACAGCCUUCAUUCCAAGAGUAUUUUGGGCCACUGAUUUUUAUCACCCAGAAAUCAAUCAGAAGGGCACACAAUGCCUAGAAAUCCCAAACCAGCUACUACAUCUAAGAGGUUCAUGAAUGAAGGCCACGGUGUUUGUGAAUACAAGAGAAGAGAGAAAAUGUGUCUCGCUAGCAAAAUUCAAAGGAGAUGCCCAUCAAGAAGAAAACAAAAGCUUUCCUCUGACACCAUCUGGCAUAAGAAAGACCGUUGCUGUGGGUGUGUCAUCAGAUCAGUGGACAAGAAGGUUGUUGGGGCAGGUAAGAUACCCAAGUCUUCUGAUAAAAAACUCAGUAGACUAAAUGAAUAUUAUCCCCAAUACUUGCCACCCAGUCUUAAUCAGUGGUGGAAGGUCUAGAACUGCUUGUCUCCAUUGGCCAAUUAAGUUUAAUGGUAAAGUCUGGUUAAUAAUAAUAAUGCAAUGUAAAACUUUCAGGGAGAAAAGAGGAUGUUUUGUGGAUCAUUUGUUGUUGUUGUUGUUGUUGUUUUCCUGUGGCAAAUUUACAUUGCUAGUUUUUAAAAUCAGUACUUUUUAAUGGAAACAAUUUGACCAAAAAAUCUGUCACAGAAUUUUAAGACCUAUUAAAAUAAAGCUGACUGAGAAAAAAUUCUGGGUAAAAAG
rnacentral:lncRNA from 1 species